rnacentral:rRNA from 2 species
GUAAGUUUUCGGUAAAAUCUGUAGGCUCAACAUACAGGAUGCCGGGAAUACUGCAGAGCUAGGGAGUGGGAGAGGUAGACGGUACUCGGUAGGAAGGGGUAAAAUCCUUUGAUCUAUUGAUGACCACCUGUGGCGAAGGCGGUCUACCAGAACACGUCCGACGGUGAGGGAUGAAAGCUGGGGGAGCAAACCGGAUUAGAUACCCGGGUAGUCCCAGCUGUAAACUAUGCAAACUCAGUGAUGCAUUGACUUGUGGUCAAUGCAGUGCUGCAGGGAAACCGUUAAGUUUGCCGCCUGGGAAGUACGUAAGCAAGUAUGAAACUUAAAGGAAUUGGCGGGGGAGCACCACAAGGGGUGAAGCGUGCGGUUC